CUUGAAAAUCAGGGAAAAGAGCUUCACUGCUGAUAUCAUACCUGGGAAUUUCUUUUACACCCGUUUGUCAUCACUUGCUGAAAAGAAUAUUAAGACCUGAUCGAUUGAUUGAUCACCCUGUGUCAGCUAAAGCUUGCGGUUGGCGAAGGGUAAGUGCAACGUGAGCCCUGCGUCAUUGACUCUUGACUUCUACUGCGAUCCAUUAUUGGUGGCAUGGAAAUUCUUAAUCCAAUCUCAAUGAUCAGCAGUCAGUCAUAGCCACUGGCCAUAUGAUUGAGCUUCCCACGUGGCCCAAAGUCCCUAACUUGUGGUAGCACAGACAGCAGCCACAGCAAGGCAUCACCACCAAACUAUUUCAAUUACACUGCCCUUAAUGCCAUAUAUCUCCUUUAAAAUGCUAUGGCUGACAACUUAACAUGCAUUUUAGGUACAACACUCCAUGCUAUUUCAGUUCGUCAGAGGUGAAGAAGUCUAUCCUGUUCUUGUGGGAGGUCACGGUGAUUCAUUGCCUGAUAUGUCGAAGCGUCUCUGAGCAGUCAUCAGUCAUAACUAAUUAACUAUGAGGAUGCAUUCCAACUACCUUUUUCUUUCUUUUGCUGCUGGGCUGGAUCAGGCCACCAACUCGUCAGAAGCCAAGCAGUGUAGGCAAGCACUGGCAGUUCAGCUUCAUCUGCGACGUCUCUCUCUCAUGACAUCUGGAACUACUACUGGUUACUGAUUGAUGGGGAACACUUAUACUGAAAGAUCGUGACUUGUAGGAAGAGAAGCUCUUUUCGAUGCAACCAAUGAUUUUUCAGAAGAGCCAAUAAUCCUUCUCUAAAAUUUUCUUUCAUCCAGAAAGAGAAUUGGUUGUUCAGUAUGCUUCUAUCUACGCGUGCAUGUUGUUUCUGGUUAAUUUUAUUUGCAGAGAGACUAGAGAAUGGCUAGGUACAGAAUUUAUGGAUAUAUAUUUGACAAAGGUCAUUAUGUCCUUUACCUGCAAAGAUACAUUAUAAAUAAAUCAUAAUAUGCUUACUUCUCUUUGA